UUUUCUUUUUCUUUUUUUCUUUUUUUCUUUUUUCUUUCCUUUUUUUUUUUAACCUGCCGUUGAGAUGGAGAGGCUGCAAGAAAGAGUCCUGAAGAAGAAAAGCCUGGAGUGCUGGAAGUAA
rnacentral:ribozyme from 1 species